rnacentral:rRNA from 1 species
GACAGAGGCCCCAAGCGUUAGGCGGAAUCACUGGGCUUAAAGCGUGUGUAGGCGGACGCCUAAGUGUCUUGUGAAAUCCCACGGCUCACCCGUGGAACUGCUGGGCAUACUGGGCGUCUUGGGCCAACUAGGGGCAGCCGGAACAAGCGGUGGAGCGGUGAAAUGCGUAGAUAUCUGGAGGAACACACGGUGGCGAAGGCGGCAUCCUGGACCGACAUUGACGCUG